GCCGUAGCUCAGUGGUAGAGCAUCUGCUUUGCAUGCAGAAGGUCCCAGGUUCAAUCCCCAGCAUCUCCA